UGUGAGGCAUGCUGGAGGUAUCAGAAGUGCGAAUGCUGACAUAAGUAACGAUAAAGCGGGUGAAAAGCCCGCUCGCCGGAAGACCAAGGGUUCCUGUCCAACGUUAAUCGGGGCAGGGUGAGUCGACCCCUAAGGCGAGGCCGAAAGGCGUAGUCGAUGGGAAACAGGUUAAUAUUCCUGUACUUGGUGUUACUGCGAAGGGGGGACGGAGAAGGCUAUGUCAGCCGGGCGACGGUUGUCCCGGUUUAAGCAUGUAGGCGGAGGUUCCAGGUAAAUCCGGUACCUUAUUAACGCUGAGGUGUGAUGACGAGGCACUACGGUGCUGAAGUGAUAAAUGCCCUGCUUCCAGGAAAAGCCUCUAAGCAUCAGGUAACACGAAAUCGUACCCCAAACCGACACAGGUGGUCAGGUAGAGAAUACCAAGGCGCUUGAGAGAACUCGGGUGAAGGAACUAGGCAAAAUGGUGCCGUAACUUCGGGAGAAGGCACGCUGAUAUGUAGGUGAAGUCCCUGCGGACGGAGCUGAAAUCAGUCGAAGAUACCAGCUGGCUGCAACUGUUUAUUAAAAACACAGCACUGUGCAAACACGAAAGUGGACGUAUACGGUGUGACGCCUGCCCGGUGCCGGAAGGUUAAUUGAUGGGGUCAGCGGCAACGCGAAGCUCUUGAUCGAAGCCCCGGUAAACGGCGGCC
rnacentral:rRNA from 1 species